UACGGAGGGGGCUAGCGUUGUUCGGAAUUAUUGGGCGUAAAGGGCGCGUAGGCGGCUUGGCAAGUGGAUGGUGAAAUCCCUCGGCUUAACCGAGGAACUGCCGUCCAAACUGCUUCGCUUGAGACCGGGAGAGGUGAGUGGAAUUCCCAGUGUAGCGGUGAAAUGCGUAGAUAUUGGGAGGAACACCAGUGGCGAAGGCGGCUCACUGGACCGGUACUGACGCUGAUGCGCGAAAGCGUGGGGAGCAAACAGG
rnacentral:rRNA from 1 species